AUAUCAAUAAGCGGAGGAAAAGAAACCAACAGGGAUUGCCCUAGUAACGGCGAGUGAAGCGGCAACAGCUCAAAUUUGAAAUCUGGCCCUCGUGGUCCGAGUUGUAAUUUGUAGAGGAUGCUUUUGGUUAGGUGCCUUCCGAGUUCCCUGGAACGGGACGCCAUAGAGGGUGAGAGCCCCGUCUGGUUGGACACCGAGCCUCUGUAAAGCUCCUUCGACGAGUCGAGUAGUUUGGGAAUGCUGCUCUAAAUGGGAGGUAUAUGUCUUCUAAAGCUAAAUAUUGGCCAGAGACCGAUAGCGCACAAGUAGAGUGAUCGAAAGAUGAAAAGCACUUUGAAAAGAGGGUUAAAAAGUACGUGAAAUUGUUGAAAGGGAAGCGCUUGUGACCAGACUUGGGCCCGGUCAAUCAUCCAGGGUUCUCCCUGGUGCACUUGGCCGGCCCAGGCCAGCAUCAGUUUGUCGCGGGGGAUAAAGACGUUGGGAAUGUGGCUCCUCCGGGAGUGUUAUAGCCCUUCGUGUAAUACCCUGCUUCGGACUGAGGUUCGCGCAUCUGCAAGGAUGCUGGCGUAAUGGUCAUCAGCGACCCGUCUUGAAACACGGACCAAGGAGUCGUCUUCGUAUGCGAGUGUUCGGGUGUCAAACCCCUACGCGUAAUGAAAGUGAACGCAGGUGAGAGCUUCGGCGCAUCAUCGACCGAUCCUGAUGUUCUCGGAUGGAUUUGAGUAAGAGCAUACGGGGCCGGACCCGAAAGAAGGUGAACUAUGCCUGUAUAGGGUGAAGCCAGAGGAAACUCUGGUGGAGGCUCGCAGCGGUUCUGACGUGCAAAUCGAUCGUCAAAUAUGGGCAUGGGGGCGAAAGACUAAUCGAACCUUCUAGUAGCUGGUUUCCGC
rnacentral:rRNA from 1 species